AGCUCCACGGCGACCGCAGCAGUAAAGGAACAUCUCAUCUGCCAAGGAGGACGGAGAGGGGACAGACCGGAGAGGAGACACAGCUGGCCACUUCAGGGGUGGGGCUGUUAUAUCAUUAGACACCGCUCCCACAAUGGGAAAAUGCAGUGGGUCUGUGAUUCCGGUGAUUUUCUCCCUAUCCUGCAUCAAUACUAAUCGGGCGGGGUGCGAGAGAGCCGCCUGCGGGGGACUAGCCGAAAAAUUAAUAAAGUAAAUCCUGCCUGCCGGACCCCACUGUUCGGUAGAGGAGAAACUGGGAUGGUUGUAGAAAAUUCAUGGUUGAAUAAAA